rnacentral:rRNA from 1 species
AGUAAAAGUCGUAACAAGGUUUCCGUAGGUGAACCUGCGGAAGGAUCAUUACUGAGUUUUGAACGGGUUGUCGCUGGCCUCUGACGAGGCAUGUGCACGCCUGGCUCAUCCACACUCAAACCACCGUGCACCCUUUGUAAGAAUGACCGAAACCGACUCUUCGUCGGAUUUCAAGUCCUCUGCUUACGUUUUUUGAUCACAAACGAUUCAGUCAACGAAUGUCUUCUUGCGAAAAAUAACGCAUCAUAAUACAACUUUCAGCAACGGAUCUCUUGGCUCUCGCAUCGAUGAAGAACGCAGCGAAAUGCGAUAAGUAAUGUGAAUUGCAGAAUUCAGUGAAUCAUCGAAUCUUUGAACGCACCUUGCGCUCCUCGGUAUUCCUUGGAGCAUGCCUGUUUGAGUAUCAUGAAAUUCUCAACUCCCGAAUUUCUUGUCGAAGUUCGGUGAGCUUGGACUUGGAGGUCGUGCUGGCCCGUCGCGGUCAGCUCCUCUGAAAUGCAUUAGCGUGAACCUUACGGAAUCGCCUUCAGCGUGAUAAUUGUCGUCGCUGUGGUGGUGAAGUACUCGCGUGUUCGUGCUUACAGUCGUCCUUCGGGACAAUUUCUUAACUUCUGAUCUCAAAUCAGGUAGGACUACCCGCUGAACUUAAGCAUAUCAAUAAGCGGAGGAAAAGAAACUAACAAGGAUUCCCCUAGUAACUGCGAGUGAAGCGGGAAGAGCUCAAAUUUAAAAUCUGGCAGCUUUGGUUGUCCGAGUUGUAGUCUAGAGAAGCGUCUUCCGUGC